rnacentral:rRNA from 1 species
AGUGAACGCUGGCGGUAGGCCUAACACAUGCAAGUCGAACGGCAGCACAGUAAGAGCUUGCUCUUACGGGUGGCGAGUGGCGGACGGGUGAGGAAUACAUCGGAAUCUACUUUUUCGUGGGGGAUAACGUAGGGAAACUUACGCUAAUACCGCAUACGACCUACGGGUGAAAGCAGGGGAUCUUCGGACCUUGCGCGAUUGAAUGAGCCGAUUUCGGAUUAGCUAGUUGGCGGGGUAAAGGCCCACCAAGGCGACGAUCCGUAGCUGGUCUGAGAGGAUGAUCAGCCACACUGGAACUGAGACACGGUCCAGACUCCUACGGGAGGCAGCAGUGGGGAAUAUUGGACAAUGGGCGAAAGCCUGAUCCAGCCAUACCGCGUGGGUGAAGAAGGCCUUCGGGUUGUAAAGCCCUUUUGUUGGGAAAGAAAAGCAGCAGGUUAAUACCCCGCUGUUCUGACGGUACCCAAAGAAUAAGCACCGGCUAACUUCGUG